rnacentral:lncRNA from 10 species
CGGGUGGGAGUGACCAGGUGCCGUCCAUCACCCCUUUCUUUGAUUAGGACAGGGAACUCCCUGACCCCUUGCGCUUCCCAAGUGAGGCAAUGCCUCGCCCUGCUUCGGGUCGUGCACGGUGCGCGCACCCACUGACCUGCACCCACUGUCUGGCACUCCCUAGUGAGAUGAACCCGGUACCUCAGAUGGAAAUGCAGAAAUCACCCGUCUUCUGCGUCGCUCAGGCUCGAAAGCACUGUAUUUUAUGGCGAAAUGUUGAAAGCUAUGCUUGAAAUGGAAAUAGGUGCAGUGGAUGAGAUACUGUUUGAUAACAUGAGAAGACCAACAAGAUCAGAACAGAAACCCUCAGGCUACAAAUACAUGGAAAUAGCAAAUAGUGCCACCACGCCCAGCUAAUUUAUUUUGUAUUUUUCGGGGUCUCACCAUCUUGGCCAGGCUGGUCUUGAACUCCUUACCUUGUGAAACACCCACCUUGGCCUCCCAAACUGCUGGGAAUACAGGCAUGAGCCACCACACCGGGCCAAUACAUAGUUUUUUAUAAAGAGAUAUUCGCCUGUGAAAGAAAUUGAAUCCAUGGUUGU